UGCAUAACCAGUUGCCUUAACCAGACUCCC
rnacentral:piRNA from 1 species